rnacentral:rRNA from 1 species
GAGUUUGAUCAUGGCUCAGAACGUACGCUGGCGGCACGCCUAACACAUGCAAGUCGAACGAAGUAGCAAUACUUAGUGGCAGACGGGUGAGUAACAUGUAGGUAUCUACCCUUUGGCCUGGAAUAACACGAGGAAACUUGUGCUAAUACCGGAUAAGUCUUUACGGAGAAAGCUUUAUGCACCAUUGGAUGAGCCUGCACUUGAUUAGUUUGUUGGUAGGGUAAUGGCCUACCAAGACUGUGAUCAAUAGCUGAUUUGAGAGGAUGAUCAGCCACAUUGGGACUGAGACACGGCCCAAACUCCUACGGGAGGCAGCAGUGGGGAAUCUUGCACAAUGGAGGAAACUCUGAUGCAGCGAUGCCGCGUGAGUGAAGAAGGCCUUUGGGUUGUAAAGCUCUUUCGUCGGGGAAGAAAAUGACUGUACCCGAAUAAGAAGGUCCGGCUAACUUCGUGCCAGCAGCCGCGGUAAUACGAAGGGACCUAGCGUAGUUCGGAAUUACUGGGCUUAAAGAGUUCGUAGGUGGUUGAAAAAGUUGGUGGUGAAAUCCCAGAGCUUAACUCUGGAACUGCCAUCAAAACUUUUCAGCUAGAGUUUGAUAGAGGAAAGCAGAAUUUCUAGUGUAGAGGUGAAAUUCGUAGAUAUUAGAAAGAAUACCAAUUGCGAAGGCAGCUUUCUGGAUCAUUACUGACACUGAGGAACGAAAGCAUGGGUAGCGAAGAGGAUUAGAUACCCUCGUAGUCCAUGCCGUAAACGAUGUGUGUUAGACGUUGGAAAUUUAUUUUCAGUGUCGCAGCGAAAGCGAUAAACACACCGCCUGGGGAGUACGACCGCAAGGUUAAAACUCAAAUGAAUUGACGGGGACCCGCACAAGUAGUGGAGCAUGUGGUUUAAUUCGAAGAUACGCGCAGAACCUUACCAACACUUGACAUGUUCGUCGCGACUUUAAGAGAUUAAAGUUUUCGGUUCGGCCGGACGAAACACAGGUGCUGCAUGGCUGUCGUCAGCUCGUGUCGUGAGAUGUUGGGUUAAGUCCCGCAACGAGCGCAACCCUCACUUUUAGUUGCCAUCAUUUAGUUGGGCACUCUGAAAGAACUGCCAGUGAUAAGCUGGAGGAAGGUGGGGAUGACGUCAAGUCCUCAUGGCCCUUACGUGUUGGGCUACACACGUGCUACAAUGGUAUUUACAACAGGAAGCAAGACGGCGACGUUAAGCAAAUCCUUAAAAAAUACCUCAGUUCGGAUUGCACUCUGCAACUCGAGUGCAUGAAGCUGGAAUUACUAGUAAUCGUGGAUCAGCGUGCCACGGUGAAUGCGU